AGCUGCUGGAGCUGCCAGAUCGGCGGAGCUGGCCCUGUCCAUGUUGCUCCCCAGCUCGGCCAGCAUCAACUUUGCCCGGGGCAAUUCCACCACCAUGAGUUCCAUAAACUCCAGUGGUUCCAUAACCAGUUCCUUGUUGGCCCGAUUUAGGACCCCCAGUGUGGCCAACAGGGUUGCCAUAUUCAUCAGUCUGUCGCGUUGGGUUCCCGUAUUGGUCUCCGUACUCUGCCAUUUCUUCAGAUUUCAAGUGUGUAUCAAAAUUAAAACUUAAAUAAACAAGUAGUUUGUUCAGCUUCUUA
rnacentral:lncRNA from 1 species